rnacentral:rRNA from 1 species
AGAGUUUGAUCAUGGCUCAGAACGAACGCUGGCGGCAGGCCUAACACAUGCAAGUCGAACGCACCGCAAGGUGAGUGGCGCACGGGUGAGUAACACGUGGGAAUGUACCCUUUGGUUCGGAAUAACGUUUGGAAACGAACGCUAAUACCGGAUGAGCCCUACGGGGGAAAGAUUUAUCGCCAAAGGAGCAGCCCGCGUCUGAUUAGCUAGUUGGUGGGGUAAAGGCCUACCAAGGCGACGAUCAGUAGCUGGUCUGAGAGGAUGAUCAGCCACACUGGGACUGAGACACGGCCCAGACUCCUACGGGAGGCAGCAGUGGGGAAUAUUGGACAAUGGGCGAAAGCCUGAUCCAGCCAUGCCGCGUGAGUGAUGAAGGCCUUCGGGUUGUAAAGCUCUUUCGCACACGACGAUGAUGACGGUAGUGUGAGAAGAAGCCCCGGCUAACUUCGUGCCAGCAGCCGCGGUAAUACGAAGGGGGCUAGCGUUGUUCGGAAUUACUGGGCGUAAAGGGCGCGUAGGCGGCUUAUCAAGUCAGGCGUGAAAGCCCCGGGCUUAACCUGGGAACUGCGCUUGAGACUGUUAGGCUUGAGUACCGGAGAGGUAGGUGGAAUUCCCAGUGUAGAGGUGAAAUUCGUAGAUAUUGGGAAGAACACCAGUGGCGAAGGCGGCCUACUGGACGGUAACUGACGCUGAGGCGCGAAAGCGUGGGGAGCAAACAGGAUUAGAUACCCUGGUAGUCCACGCCGUAAACGAUGUCGGCUAGACGUUGGGGCUCUUAGAGUUUCAGUGUCGCAGCUAGCGCAUUAAGCCGACCGCCUGGGGAGUACGGCCGCAAGGUUGAAACUCAAAUGAAUUGACGG